CAGUCGCCGCGGGAAUACGUAGGGUGCAAGCGUUAAUCGGAAUUACUGGGCGUAAAGCGUGCGCAGGCGGUUCGUUAAGACAGAUGUGAAAUCCCCGGGCUUAACCUGGGAACUGCAUUUGUGACUGGCGAGCUAGAGUAUGGCAGAGGGGGGUAGAAUUCCACGUGUAGCAGUGAAAUGCGUAGAGAUGUGGAGGAAUACCGAUGGCGAAGGCAGCCCCCUGGGCCAAUACUGACGCUCAUGCACGAAAGCGUGGGGAGCAAACAGGAUUAGAUACCCGGGUAGUCCCUGUCUCUUAUAC
rnacentral:rRNA from 1 species